AGGGGAAAAACAUGAGAGUGCAAUUUUGCUGUUGGAAGACGCUUUGAAAAAUUAUAAUGAUUUCAUUACAUAACACUGUCGAUUUAUGAGCCAGGAACUUUUUGAAACAGAAAAUAUCUUACUGGAACCAUAUUUCAUGGGAUCCUACUUUGUAUGUUUCUUUGCUGAAGAAUGAAUGGCCUUUGUUCGCACAGAAUCGUAUAAAUAACGGCUUGGGUUGCGUAAGAUAGCAAGCCUCUUAGUGGAGAACUUAUUUCAGAGAUUUCAAUCUUUUGCUCGGACUGCUUCAUUGGAGAAUAUGAAGUCGUGCGCCUUUCUUGUGCUUUUGGUGCUGUUUGCCACUGUUUCCAUAGAAGACAUAGCCGUGCAAUGUGUACCACCGCUUGCUACGUGCAGCUGCUGUGGUCAUACUUGUAGAAGCGAUCAUGGGAGUUGCUAUUGCGUCGGAGAGUACCCCAACUGCACCUGUGGUGCAGUCGAUCACCCAUAAUAAAAGAAUAGCCUCCCGUAGAGAGGAACGACGCUUGACCAGUUGAACAUACCGAAGAAAACGGAAAACUAACCUCUCAGCUAGGUGUAAAGCUGCUGCAUUUGGUCUUUUUUUUUUUUUUUUGUGAAUUUUGAGUUCAACGAUAAGUGGUCAAAAUAAAGAUUGUAGUAAAACACUGUAUUUACUGCAUAGUCAAAG